AUUGAAUGCUGGCGGCAUGCUUUACGCAUGCAAGUCGAACGGUAACAGGGUGCUUGCACCGCUGACGAGUGGCGAACGGGUGAGUAAUGCGUCGGAACGCACCGAGUAAUGGGGGAUAACGCAGCGAAAGCUGUGCUAAUACCGCAUACGCUCUGAGGUGGAAAGCGGGGGACCUUCGGGCCUCGCGUUAUUCGAGCGGCCGACGUCUGAUUAGCUAGUAGGUGAGGUAAGAGCUCACCUAGGCGACGAUCAGUAGCGGGUCUGAGAGGAUGAUCCGCCACACUGGGACUGAGACACGGCCCAGACUCCUACGGGAGGCAGCAGUGGGGAAUUUUGGACAAUGGGCGCAAGCCUGAUCCAGCCAUGCCGCGUGUCUGAAGAAGGCCUUCGGGUUGUAAAGGACUUUUGUCAGGGAGGAAAUCCUUAGCGCUAAUACCGUUGAGGGAUGACAGUACCUGAAGAAUAAGCACCGGCUAACUACGUGCCAGCCGCCGCCGUAAUAC
rnacentral:rRNA from 1 species